CUGUUUUGUAGACAGACUUAUUGGUGUCCACUGUACCCAUGGUUUGAACAGGACUGGCUACCUCAUCUGCAGAUACUUGAUUGAUGUAGAAGGCAUGAGGCCAGAUGAUGCAAUUGAAUUAUUCAAUAGGUGCCGAGGACAUUGCUUAGAAAGACAAAACUACAUUGAAGACCUUCGAAAUGGUCCCAUGAGAAAGAAUCAAGAUUCCAGUAUAUCCAGAUCAAGUGGUUUUGAAGACUCAGCACAUAUGAUGGGACCAGUCCACACCACUUACAGGUCUGUUAACCAAGGACCUACGAAUAACCUCCACUGGACCCAAGGUUACCCACCACCUUCUCGGCAUUUCUACACCAAGACCCAGGAUUUUCAGCAGUCAGUAAGAUUUUCACAGAAUCAGAACAUUUACCAGAGAGGCCAUAUUCCUCCUCCUGGUCCCCCUGGAGAGAAGUAUUUUCAAAGGCGGUACUCUUGGAACGUAAAGCCAAAUGCCAGUCCAGCAGCCCAGAACAGAAGGUUACGGUAUCCUGGCAGUUACUGCAGACUACCCUACCCGGCCUACUGUGGAUGGACGGAGUGACACAGACCUACCCUGGAGAUCUGUCUGGAGACACAGGACUGAAGACAGCUGGAGGGACUUUUUAUAAGAUCAGGUCAAACGAGGUUUAUAAUCUAUUUUAUUGCUCCCUUAGGCAUUCAUGCUUAAGGGAAAAUUGUGAUACGCACCUCUUUGCUGGUAACUUUGCAGUAUUUACAACAGUGAAGAAAAUAAUCUGUCGUUCCAAUUUUAAAUUUUUUUAAAGGAAGAUGACAUUUUAGAAUUAAUAAAAGUAAUAAAGAACUUCCCUCAUAAAUUAUUUUUUAAAA